GAUUAACGCUAGCGGCAGGCCUAAUACAUGCAAGUCGAACGGCAGCACGGGUAGCAAUACCUGGUGGCGAGUGGCGCACGGGUGCGUAACACGUAUGCAAUCUUCCUUUAACUGGGGAACAACCCCUCGAAAGAGGGGCUAAUACCGCAUAAUAUCAAGAGACGGCAUCGCCUUUUGAUAAAACCUCCGGGGGUUAAAGAUGAGCAUGCGUCCGAUUAGUUAGUUGGCGGGGUAACGGCCCACCAAGACAGCGAUCGGUAGGGGAUCUGAGAGGAUGAUCCCCCACACGGGUACUGAGACACGGACCCGACUCCUACGGGAGGCAGCAGUAAGGAAUAUUGGACAAUGGGGGCGAACCCUGAUCCAGCCAUGCCGCGUGAAGGAUGAAGGCGCUAUGCGUUGUAAACUUAC
rnacentral:rRNA from 1 species